GCGUAUGGAUAAUUUAGAAGGCUGACAGUGAUGUUGGCUGGAAUUAUCUUUAGUGCAGAUCUUGGUGGUAGUAGCAAAAUAUUCAAUAGAGAACAUUGAAGACUGAAGUGGAGAAAGGUUUCACAUGAACAACACUUGGAUGUGAGUUAGUCGAUCCUAAAACGGUGGGUUAACUCCAAAUACAUAGAUACUUGUAUCUUGUACCGUGAAAGGGAAAUAGGUUAAUAUUCCUAUACUAUAUCAAGGAGGUAAAGUGGUAACACAAAAUGAACUCAAAUACAUCAGUAGAAUAACCAAGGAAAGAGUUCUCUUUUCUUCUUAACGACUUCUCCGCAAGGGGUGUAUAAUGACCAUGGAAUCAAUUUAGUUGGAGAAAUGGUUAAAGAGUCGGUAGAGUAAUUCAAUUUCUGAAUUAUCUGGUUAGGUUCUAAUGGUACAU
rnacentral:rRNA from 1 species